rnacentral:rRNA from 1 species
GCUGGCGGCAUGCCUAACACAUGCAAGUCGAACGCCAUGGUUUCGGCCAUGGAGUGGCGCACGGGUGAGUAACGCGUGGGAACCUGCCCAGCAGUAUGGGACAACCGCGGGAAACUGCGGCUAAUACCGUAUACGCCCCUGCAAGGGGGGAAAGAUUGAUCGCUGUUGGAGGGGCCCGCGUCGGAUUAGGUAGUUGGUGGGGUAAUGGCCUACCAAGCCUGCGAUCCGUAGCUGGUCUGAGAGGAUGAUCAGCCACACUGGGACUGAGACACGGCCCAGACUCCUACGGGAGGCAGCAGUGGGGAAUAUUGGACAAUGGGCGCAAGCCUGAUCCAGCAAUGCCGCGUGAGUGAUGAAGGCCUUAGGGUUGUAAAGCUCUUUCACACGCGACGAUGAUGACGGUAGCGUGAGAAGAAGCCCCGGCUAACUCCGUGCCAGCAGCCGCGGUAAUACGGAGGGGGCAAGCGUUGUUCGGAAUUACUGGGCGUAAAGGGCGCGCAGGCGGCUGCUCAAGUCAGGCGUGAAAGGCCUGGGCUCAACCCGGGAAUUGCGCUUGAGACUGGGCUGGCUUGAGUGCGGGAGAGGAUGGUGGAAUUCCCAGUGUAGAGGUGAAAUUCGUAGAUAUUGGGAAGAACACCGGUGGGCGAA